UCCCUGUUGGCUCAGAUGGUAAAAUGCCUGCCUGCAAUGCAGGAAACCCGGGUUCAAUCCCUGGGUGGGGAA
rnacentral:tRNA from 1 species